CCUACGGGAGGCAGCAGUGGGGAAUAUUGGGCAAUGGACGCAAGUCUGACCCAGCAACGCCGCGUGUAGGAAGAAGGCUUUCGGGUUGUAAACUUCUUUUGAGGGGGACGAGCAGAAGACGGUACCCCUUGAAUAAGCCACGGCUAACUACGUGCCAGCAGCCGCGGUAAUACGUAGGUGGCAAGCGUUGUCCGGAUUUACUGGGUGUAAAGGGCGGGCAGGCGGCGAGACAAGUCAGAUGUGAAAUCCACGGGCUCAACCCGUGAACUGCAUUUGAGACUGCUUGCCUAGAGUGUCGGAGAGGUAAGUGGAAUUCCUGGUGUAGCAGUGAAAUGCGUAGAUAUAAGGAAGAACACCAGUGGCGAAGGCGGAUUACUGGAAGAUAACUGACGGUGAGGCGCGAAAGCGUGGGGAGCAAACAGGAUUAGAUACCCUUGUAGUC
rnacentral:rRNA from 1 species